GGCAACCUGGCCGAGCGGUCUAAGGCGCCAGGUUAAGGUAUCACCUUGACAUAAUAUCCUGGUCUCUUCGGAGGCGAGAGUUCGAAUCUCUCGGUUGUCA
rnacentral:tRNA from 2 species